GACGAACGCUGGCGGCGUGCUUAACACAUGCAAGUCGAACGGAAAGGCCCUGCUUUUGUGGGGUGCUCGAGUGGCGAACGGGUGAGUAACACGUGAGUAACCUGCCCUUGACUUUGGGAUAACUUCAGGAAACUGGGGCUAAUACCGGAUAGGAGCUCCUGCUGCGUGGUGGGGGUUGGAAAGUUUCGGCGGUUGUGGAUGGACUCGCGGCUUAUCAGCUUGUUGGUGGGGUAGUUGCUUACCAAGGCUUUGACGGGUAGCCGGCCUGAGAGGGUGACCGGCGAGAUAGGGGCUGAGAGGAGGCACGAAGAGAGACGGGAGCGAAAAGGGGGGAAGACUGACGAAGGGACGGAAGGUGGAUGAAGAAAGGCGGCGGGUCGUAGAACGGCCUUAGGAGGGAAGAACAAAUGUGGAAGUGACGAAGCGCGAGUGAAGGUAAUGGGAAAAGAAGGACCGGCCUAACAAGUG
rnacentral:rRNA from 1 species